rnacentral:rRNA from 1 species
CCUACGGGAGGCAGCAGUAGGGAAUCUUCCACAAUGGGCGAAAGCCUGAUGGAGCAACGCCGCGUGGGUGAAGAAGGUCUUCGGAUCGUAAAACCCUGUUGUUAGAGAAGAAAGUGCGUGAGAGUAACUGUUCACGUUUCGACGGUAUCUAACCAGAAAGCCACGGCUAACUACGUGCCAGCAGCCGCGGUAAUACGGAGGUGGCAAGCGUUAUCCGGAUUUAUUGGGCGUAAAGGGAACGCAGGCGGUCUUUUAAGUCUGAUGUGAAAGCCUUCGGCUUAACCGGAGUAGUGCAUUGGAAACUGGGAGACUGGAGUGCAGGAGAGGAGAGUGGAACUGCAGGUGUAGCGGUGAAAUGCGUAGAUAUAUGGAAGAACACCAGUGGCGAAGGCGGCUCUCUGGUCUGUAACUGACGCUGAGGUUCGAAAGCGUGGGUAGCAAACAGGAUUAGAUACCCUAGUAGUC